UGGAAUAACACGAGGAAACUUGUGCUAAUACGGGAUAAGUCUUUACGGAGAAAGCUUUAUGCACCAUUGGAUGAGCCUGCACUUGAUUAGUUUGUUGGUGGGGUAAUGGCCUACCAAGACUGUGAUCAAUAGCUGAUUUGAGAGGAUGAUCAGCCACAUUGGGACUGAGACACGGCCCAAACUCCUACGGGAGGCAGCAGUGGGGAAUCUUGCACAAUGGAGGAAACUCUGAUGCAGCGAUGCCGCGUGAGUGAAGAAGGCCUUUGGGUUGUAAAGCUCUUUCGUCGGGGAAGAAAAUGACUGUACCCGAAUAAGAAGGUCCGGCUAACUUCGUGCCAGCAGCCGCGGUAAUACGAAGGGACCUAGCGUAGUUCGGAAUUACUGGGCUUAAAGAGUUCGUAGGUGGUUGAAAAAGUUGGUGGUGAAAUCCCAGAGCUUAACUCUGGAACUGCCAUCAAAACUUUUCAGCUAGAGUAUGAUAGAGGAAAGCAGAAUUUCUAGUGUAGAGGUGAAAUUCGUAGAUAUUAGAAAGAAUACCAAUUGCGAAGGCAGCUUUCUGGAUCAUUACUGACACUGAGGAACGAAAGCAUGGGUAGCGAAGAGGAUUAGAUACCCUCGUAGUCCAUGCCGUAAACGAUGUGUGUUAGACGUUGGAAAUUUAUUUUCAGUGUCGCAGCGAAAGCGAUAAACACACCGCCUGGGGAGUACGACCGCAA
rnacentral:rRNA from 1 species